GGGUGCAGGAAAUCAACAUGGCACAUGGAUACAUAUGUAACAAACCUGCACAUUGUGCACAUGUACCUUAAAACCUAAAGUAUAAUAAUAAAAAAAAAAAAAAAAGAGUUAUUGAGCAGAAACUUCCAACUCUAGGCCCUGAAAGGUAACCAUACUAUAAAAUAAAACAGAGGAAAAAUGUCCUAGGACUGAUAAGGAGCAGGAAGAAUAUGUUAAUUGUGGUGAAAAAUGACUCAAAACAUAACUUUUGACUACUUUUUCAGUUUUCUUCCUUGUCCCUAGAUCCUCUCCCUAGCUCUUCCAACAAAUACCCAGUUCGUGUGGGUUUGUAACAUCUCGUUAUUCCUGAAGGAACAGAUCUGGAAGAAGGCAGACUUUUCUGUUAAGCCCAAAAAUUCUUCAGGGUUCCUGGUCUCUUCAAGUGGUUCAAGGUAGUAAGGUGUAUAUAACUUACCAAAGAGGUUCAUUAAUUAGAGUCAAGGACUAAGCCACUUCAUCAACAGCCUCCUGAACUGAAAUCAGCUGGCUGUGGAUCAUUAGAAAAGUAUCAAGCCUUUUCAACCCUCAAGUAAAAAGAAGAGUGUUAUUGAAAGCUUUUUCCUUUAAUUCCACCCAUAUAUCUGAGAGGAAAUCCGAAGAAAGAGACGGCAGUCUGAAAAGGACUCGGCUUGAUGUGGAAGACUUUGAAGGUGGAAGAAAGGCCAUGAACCAAGGACUGUGGGUGGCCUCCAGCUGGCAAAGAAACAGAUUUCCCCAGAGCCUCCAGAAAGGAACACAGCCCUGCUGACUCCUUAUAUUA